CAGUGACCGUGCUCUCAUGGUCACGUAAACCACUGAAUUUAAGAAAGCUGUGAAUGUUUCUUUCUUUACACAAUGGUUGCCCAUGAGAUGAUGAGGGGGUCUUUUGUUUCCGAGCGGACAGGUGACAGUUUUGCGGUAGGAAGCUCUGAUGCUUAUUUUCCCCUCUGUGAGUGUUUAUAAAAGUGUGAGUAGUGGUGAGCUGAGGUAAUACGCAUCAGACUCAAAAGAGAAGAUGAGGUGUGUUUCGGUAACCCUUCUGCUGUGCCUGGCUACAAUGCUGCUCGCUCAAGUUAACUGCCAAAUAAGUGGCCGGGCAAGUUGCCUUUGUCUCAAGUUAUCAAAUCGGGUUCCUCGGAAGGAAAAUAUUGAAAGCUACAUGAUACAAAAUGCAGGCGUCUGCCAUAUUGAUGCUAUUUUAUUUAAAACCGUUAGAGGUCGUUUCAUUUGCGCUGAUCCAAAAAUCCCUUUGGCAACAGAAGCCAAGAAAUAUGUGGAUAACAAGAAAAAGGCAACAAGAGCCCUUCCCGUAAACUCUGCAUCAACAUUUAAAACAUUGAGUACCACAUCACAAUGGAGUACAACGGGAUGAACUAAGAACUACUUCAGUUGAACUAUCCACAUUUUUAACAUAUAUCAGUGAUGUUUGUGUUGGAUUUUAUGUUAUUUGCACAUGGUUCAUUAAAAUGUUUUAUACAAAGUA